rnacentral:sRNA from 1 species
UCCCCGACGCCCGACGGUCCCUACGGGAGCU